UCAUUCAAAGUCUCAUGCCGUGGAUGUAACAUGGUGUGUGUUACAGAUCUGAUGGGGCUGUUUGACAAGCACAGGUUCAGGAAGCUGCUCCUGUUCAUCCUGAACUUUGAGGAGGGCGACCUGCGUACCCACCAGGACAUGGACCCCAACAGGACCAGCAUGAGAAAGUUGUUCCGCCGGUUCCACCUGGGACCAGACAUAGAAUUUCCUGGCCAUGUCUUGGCCCUGUACCGCAGAGGCGAGUCAGUACAAAUGUUAAACAGACAGAAAAACAGACAGGAACGCACACACACACAUAUUCUCUAAAGUAUAUGCCUCAACAGAAUAUAAAUUGAAGCCAAGAUACAAACUUUUCGAAUCUCCAUGGUCGUGUGCCUGCCUUCACAGCUACUUGGACCAGCCGUGCAUCCAGACCAUAAGACUGCUCAAGCUGUAUUCUGAGUUUAUGGCUCGCUAAAACUGCAGUCCCUACCUCUUUCCAUUGUGUGGGCUAGGGUAACUACCCAAGGGCUUUGCCAGGUAAUACACACACACACAUGCAGGCGCUCAAGAAUGCAUUAAUACAUUAACAUCAAGUGUUUUUAUGAUGGUGUUUUGUAUGUCCCCAAAGUAACCUCACUAUUCCUGUAUGUCUCAUGUUAAGUGCAUGGAGGGACCUACAUGUUAAACAGAAAGGUGGAAGAGAUUGUGAUGGACAAGGGCAAAGGGGUAGCAGUGAAAUCUGAAGGAGCAGUGAGUGGUUGGUGAGGUAGAGAGUGGAUAAGAGAGAAAGAGUGUUGAAGAGGGAAUUCAUGGAUGAAUGAAGUGAGAAAUGCUAGUGCAUGAAUUAUAGGAAAGUGGGCUGAAUGUCAGGAGGGUAAAUUAGUAGAAGUAGAACCUAAUAUUUCUCUCUAUCAAGCUGUUUUGCUGUAAACAGCUGAUCUAGGCUGGGUUUCUGUACAGCACUUUGAGAUAUCAGCUGAUGUAAGAAGGGCUAUAUAAAUACAUUUGAUCUCUCACCCCAGCUACGUGCUGGGUGAAGAAGGUGGGCCAGGUUACACAGGUCAUCUGUUCACUGAAUCAUCCAAUCAAAUACACCCAUGAUGCCAACUCCUGCCAAAUCAUCAUCCCUCAAGCAAAGUCCACAGGAAAUCAGACAUCUAUGUAUGGUGUACUACGCUCACAACAUGGCGUCAUCGGGGAUGUAUAUCGCCAAGGUGAGCACCACUGUAGAGACCAGUAAACCCAGAGAAGUAAGUGCAGCCUGGGAUGGAACUGCUGGAGCCCAUUCGUCAGAGAUGUGUUUCUGUCAGCAACAUGAUGGUCCCUAUUGAUGAUGGAAGGAAAAUGCAGGUAAGGGGCUACCUUCAAUAUAUUGUAUUGUCCUUAACCCCACACCUAGUGACCUAGCCAAGAGGUUCAGAUCUUUUGGUGUUCGAGUCAGGUUUCAGGUCCUGGUCGGGGAUACUCCCUUAAUUCGAUACACGUUAAGGACUUGGAAUAGAGAAGCAUGAGAACACGCUCUCCUGAAAGAAAGGGGGUAGUGUAUCGACCUUAAGCCAACACCUAGCAACCUUGUUGAGAGGUGUGGAUCUCUUGGUGUCACUGCUAAGGGGUUGACAGACAACCAUUGUCUACAGACAAUCAUGGACUACAAAGGGAAAACCAGCCACUUUGUGGACACCGACAUCUUGCUUCCGGACAAGCUAAACACGUUCUUCGCUCGCUAUGAGGACAACACAGUACCACCAAUGCGGCCCGCUACCAACGACUGUGGGCUCUCCUUCUCCGUGGCUGACAUUUAAGCGUGUUAACCCUCGCAAGGCUGCCGCCCAGACGGCAUCCCUAGCUGCGUCCUCAGAGCGUCCGCAGAGCAGCUGGCUGGAGUGUUUACGGACAUAUUCAAUCUCUCACUAUACCAGGCUGAUGUUCCCACUCGCUUUAAGAUGUCCACCAUUGUUCCUGUACGUAAGAAAGCAAAGGUAACUGAACUAAAUAACUAUCGCCCAG